GGAGAAAAGCAGGGGAUCGCAAGACCUUGCGCUCAUUGAGCGGCCGAUGCCUGAUUAGCUAGUUGGUGAGGUAAAGGCUUACCAAGGCGACGAUCAGUAGCUGGUCUGAGAGGACGACCAGCCACACUGGGACUGAGACACGGCCCAGACUCCUACGGGAGGCAACAGUGGGGAAUUUUGGACAAUGGGGGAAACCCUGAUCCAGCCAUGCCGCGUGAGUGAAGAAGGCCUUCGGGUUGUAAAGCUCUUUCAGCCGGAACGGAACGGUCACGGCUAAUACCUAUGACUACUGACGGUACCGGAAGAAGAAGCACCGGCUAACUACGUGCCAGCAGCCGCGGUAAUACGUAGGGUGCGAGCGUUAAUCGGAAUUACUGGGCGUAAAGCGUGCGCAGGCGGUUUUGUAAGUCAGAAGAGAAAUCCCCGGGCUUAACCUGGGAACUGCGUUGAAUAUAACGAAGCUAGAAGGGC
rnacentral:rRNA from 1 species